CCUACGGGGGGCUGCAGUGAGGAAUAUUGGUCAAUGGGCGGAAGCCUGAACCAGCCAAGUCGCGUGAGGGAAUAAGGCCCUACGGGUCGUAAACCUCUUUUGCCGGGGAGCAAGGGCCGGGACGCGUCCCGGCCCGGAGAGUACCCGGAGAAAAAGCAUCGGCUAACUCCGUGCCAGCAGCCGCGGUAAUACGGAGGAUGCGAGCGUUAUCCGGAUUUAUUGGGUUUAAAGGGUGCGCAGGCGGAAGCGCAAGUCAGCGGUAAAAUUGAGAGGCUCAACCUCUUCCCGCCGUUGAAACUGCGUUUCUUGAGUGGGCGAGAAGUACGCGGAAUGCGUGGUGUAGCGGUGAAAUGCAUAGAUAUCACGCAGAACUCCGAUUGCGAAGGCAGCGUACCGGCGCCCAACUGACGCUCAUGCACGAAAGCGUGGGUAUCGAACAGGAUUAGAUACCCCUGUAGUC
rnacentral:rRNA from 1 species